rnacentral:rRNA from 1 species
UGAGGAAUAUUGGUCAAUGGGCGAGAGCCUGAACCAGCCAUCCCGCGUGCAGGAAGACGGCCCUAUGGGUUGUAAACUGCUUUUGCGCAUGAAGAAUGUUACCGACGUGUCGGUAAGUGACGGUAAUGCGUGAAUAAGCAUCGGCUAACUCCGUGCCAGCAGCCGCGGUAAUACGGAGGAUGCAAGCGUUAUCCGGAUUUAUUGGGUUUAAAGGGUGCGUAGGCGGCCUUGUAAGUCAGUGGUGAAAACCUGCAGCUCAACUGUAGGCGUGCCAAUGAAACUGUGAGGCUUGAGUGACGUUGAGGCAGGCGGAAUGUGUAGUGUAGCGGUGAAAUGCUUAGAUAUUACACAGAACACCGAUUGCGUAGGCAGCUUGCUAAAGGUUAACUGACGCUGAUG